CAGUAGCCGCGGGAAUACGAAGGGGGCUAGCGUUGUUCGGAUUUACUGGACGUAAAGGGCGCGUAGGCGGACUGAUAAGUCAGGGGUGAAAUCCCAAGGCUCAACCUUGGAACUGCCUUUGAUACUGUUCGUCUUGAGUUCGAGAGAGGUAAGUGGAACUGCGAGUGUAGAGGUGAAAUUCGUAGAUAUUCGCAAGAACACCAGUGGCGAAGGCGGCUUACUGGCUCGAAACUGACGCUGAGGCGCGAAAGCGUGGGGAGCAAACAGGAUUAGAUACCCCUGUAGUCCCUGUCUCUUAUAC
rnacentral:rRNA from 1 species